UAUUUUAUGUAGUUUUAUAGAGGCAAAUAAUGCAGGCGACAAAACCUCACUAUAUAUUAAGGCCCAAGUAAUUUUAUCUCAGUGUAUCUAAAUAAAUAAGGCAAAAAACAUAGUCACAAGUUUCUAAUAAUAAGUUAAAUGAAUAUGUUAAGAAUAAACUAAAAAUUAAUUAAAACAUGCAUUUUCCCAAAACUUAAUUUUUGCGAAUACCUCGUUCUGUCUUUAUACGGCGCGGCGCGAGAGAAUUAGAUAAAAUUUAAAAUGUUAUCAGUAACGUCGCUUCGAUUCUUACACGGUUAGCGCAUAAAAUAUUCUUAUUUAAGGAAGCAUUGAUGUCUCCUUGUCGGUUCACAGCUUGCCAUUUACGUGGGUUAUCUAUUCGUUAGGUAUAAUUAUCUUUGGCUGCAGGCAUAUUCAAAACAAACAAAAAUAAGCUUCUGGUUAAACUGGGAAACUUUUACGGUUUUUUUUUCCACAAUAAAUAAAAAGGGGUAUUUUACCGGUUAUAAUGCUUGAAGAAAUAGUGUUCAAAAACGCCAAAUUAAUACCCGAAAACUCACGAAAAGACGGAGCAAAAUUAAUACGUGUGUACUUGUUCACUCGUCGCGAGACAGUAUAUUCUACAAUUUAAUAAAUAUAUUUUGGCCAUAUACGGUUGAUGUUGCUUGGGUCGCGGGAAAUACAGUUCUACCUAACAUAAAAGUUUUUGAAAGGGUUAUAAUAUGGAUCUCUGAAGAACUACUGUACCGAUGUGUCCAAGCAGUUAAUCUAUCCCACGACAAUGCACAUGCUCAAAUGGAUGUUAAACUGAGGUCCCUAAUUUGUAUAGGUUUAAAUGAGCAGGUUCUGCAUCUUUGGUUAGAAGUUCUUUGUUCUUCUAGUGAAAUUGUGCAAAAAUGGUACCAACCAUGGUCAUUUAUUUAUAGUCCGGGUUGGGUGCAAAUAAAAUGCGAAUUGCGCAUUCUUUCGCAGCUUUCGUUUAACUUAAACCCGAAUUGGGAACUUCCAGUGAAAAGAGAAGCAAACAAUCAGCCAUUGAAAGACGGUGUGAGAGAUAUGCUAGUCAAGCAUCACUUGUUUAGCUGGGAUAUCUAACAUUUACCUAUUUAUACGUAUCCUAACCCGUAUUUCCAAUGUAAAAAGGUCCUGAUGUGACAGUGAUAACUUUGCUCCGAUUUAUUUAAUAAAGGCGAAAGGGAUAAGCGAAUAAAAGAGAUCAAAUAUACUAAUUCUAUUACACUCAGCUGUCAUUUUUGGAAACAUAAACAUAAUAGAAAACCUCUUUAUUAGUAUUGUAUUAUUUUCCCCGCAAGUACGUUAACAUUGAAUUAGUUACAGAUACGUUAAAGGUGUUUUCCAUUACGAUACUUUAAUUAAAAAUAAAACCAUCCUAUUAUAUGUAAUCUACCACCUUCAUUUAAACGUCCUUAAACAUAACUUUAAUUAAUGUUGAGUUAGUUAAGGCAUUCUAAAGUGCCUUAUGGUACAUUGUAUAAGGAUUGCAUGAUCUGUGUGGAAUAAGCCUUAGGUUCUUUAUUGUAUAUAUAAAUAAUAUAUAUUUUUAGAGGUUACAAUUUCAAUACAACAUAUUUUAUUUUUAGUCACCUUUGCCCUUCUCAAACCAUUGACUUUAAAAAAGUUUUGUAGUUGUAAAUUUGUGGUAAAGUAAUCAACCCGUACAAAUACUGUACUCUUUUAUAACAUCGAUUACCUCGAUAUAUGAAAGAAUAGACAAGGUAUCUAUUUAAUCGUAAGUUUGUAAUAUAAUAAGUUCUAAAUUUGGCGAUUUACAAGAGAAAAGGCAGGUCUUUGAUGUUAUAGAUGUAGCCUGUG